rnacentral:rRNA from 1 species
GAGUUUGAUCCUGGCUCAGAAUGAACGCGGCGGCGUGCUUAACACAUGCAAGUCGAACGUGAAAUCUUUAGCUUGCUAAAGAGAGUAAAGUGGCGCACGGGUGAGUAAUGUGUGGGUAAUCUACCCUUGAAUUUGGGAUAACAUCGCGAAAGUGGUGCUAAUACCGGAUAAUAUUUUAGGGACUUCGGUUCUUAAAAUCAAAGAUGGCCUCUGUUCUAUGCUAUUGUUUGAGGAUGAGCCCACAUACCAUUAGCUUGUUGGUGGGGUAAUGGCCUACCAAGGCUACGAUGGUUAGCUGGUCUGAGAGGAUGAUCAGCCACACUGGAACUGACACACGGUCCAGACUCCUACGGGAGGCAGCAGUGAGGAAUAUUGCGCAAUGGGGGAAACCCUGACGCAGCAACGCCGCGUGAGUGAUGAAGGCCUUCGGGUCGUAAAGCUCUGUCAAGUGGGAAGAAACAGUAGAAUGCUAAUACCAUUUUACCUUGACGGUACCAUUGGAGGAAGCACCGGCUAACUCCGUGCCAGCAGCCGCGG